rnacentral:rRNA from 1 species
UACGUAGGGUGCGAGCGUUAAUAGGAAUUACUGGGCGUAAAGCGCGCGUAGGUGGCUUGAUAAGCCGGUUGUGAAAGCCCCGGGCUCAACCUGGGAACGGCAUCCGGAACUGUCAAGCUAGAGUGCAGGAGAGGAAGGUAGAAUUCCCGGUGUAGCGGUGAAAUGCGUAGAGAUCGGGAGGAAUACCAGUGGCGAAGGCGGCCUUCUGGACUGACACUGACACUGAGGUGCGAAAGCGUGGGUAGCAAACAGG